GGCCUGGCCAUCCAGCCAGUGUUUCACCCAGCGGAGCGUACGCCCAUCCAAACCGUGGGCAGCCAGCUUCUCCACGAGAGUGCUGUGGGGUACAGUGUCAAAGGCCUUACUGAAGUCCAGGUAGACCCCAUCGACAGCCUUACCUUCAUCCACUAAGCGGGUCACCUUGUCAUAGACUGAAAUCAGGUUUGUCAGACAGGAUCUACCAUUCGUAAACCCAUGCUGACUGGGCGUGAACCCCUCAUUGACCUUUAACUGGUCCAUGAUGGCUCCCGAGAUUAUCUGUUCCAUAACCUUUCCUGGCACCAAGGUGAGGUCUGUAGCUACCGGGAUCAUCUUUCCAGCCCUUUUUGAAGAUGGGCGUCACAUCUGCCAGCCUCCAGUCUGCCGGGACAUCCCCGGUUAGCCAGGACUGCCGAAGGAUGAUGGAGAGCGGCUUGGCAGCCACAUCCACCAACUCCCUCAGCACUCCAGGGUGCGAUCCAUCAGCCCCAUGGACUUGUGAGCGUCCAGCUUUCAGAGCAGGUCCAAACCCAUCUCAUCACGGAUCAUGCAGGGCUUAUUCUGUUCCCCAUCCCUAUCUACCAGUGCAGCGGGCUGUGUUCCCAGGGAGUAACAAGUCUUGCUAUUAAAGACUGAGGCAAAGAAGGCAUUAAGUACCUCAGCCUUAUCCUGAUCCUUGGUCACCAAGUUGCCUUCGGCAUUUGAACAAGGGAUGGAGAUUCUCCCUAGCCCCCCUCUUGCUGUUAAUGUAUUUAUAGAAAUACUUAUUGUUAUCCUUUACCUUAGUGGCCGAGCUCGGUUCUAGCUGGACUUUGGCUUUUCUAAUUUUCUCCCUGCACAGCUUCACUACAUACCUGUAAUCAUCAUCAGUAGCUUGCCCACUCUUCCAGAGACCAUAAACUUUCCUUUUGUUCUUGAGCUCCAGUGGGCUUUCUGAAGUGCUCCGUCAGAGUGCCAGCAUUAUGGGAUAAUUGUACUGCAUGGAUUUUCAUUAAAAUUGAUGACGG
ensembl:lncRNA